UUGCCGCGGGGACUGCUUCCGGACAUCUCUCCUCGGUCUGCGUUAUUUUCUUUGGGUCGGAUCCUGGCAGCGGGAAGUCUGGGCCUGAGGAUGUGGCGCUUCCUCGCGCCGCCACGUCAUCCUUCACGUCCCGCCGUCGCCAGCGCGGGGCUGGCCAGGUUCUGGGCGGCCCGCGGGCCCUUCUCACCUGGGCUGGGCUCUAGCGCCGGGCCCGCUGCGGGCCUCCGACCCUGACCUUGGCCCGCGAGGCCGCUUCUAGCUGCGCCCCUCCCUCCCGGCCGCGCGGGCAGUGGGAUCCCGCCUCGGGGAGGGGACCAGACCCCCCGCAUCCCCGUCCGACCGCUCCUCCGGCUCCGGCUUCCUUAUUUGGAGGGACGCGAGGAGAGUGAAGAGGAAAGACAUUGUACUCACAUCUCUAAAGUGGAGGAAGAUACACGGCCCAAGGAUGGUUAAUGUGGACACAAGAUGUGUCUGCGUCUGAAGACUACAGCCCAAGAUGCCAUUCGGAAGCCCCCGUCAUGGUGUCUGCUGGGCCCACUGGGCAUAAGUUUGGAGCCAGGAGGGAAACGGUUUGGCAGGAAAUCAACAAGCAAUGGGAGGAAGAAGACAGCGUGGGGAAAGCAGAUGCCGGGCAGAGGUCUGGGCUGAGGGGUCUGAGCGGGGAGACUGGA